GAUGAACGCUGGCGGCGCGCUUAACACAUGCAAGUCGAGCGAGAAGUUUUGAAAAGAUUCUUCGGAUGAAAUUUAAAAUGGAAAGCGGCGGACGGGUGAGUAACGCGUAGGCAACCUGCCCCAUACAAAGGGAUAGCAUUUGGAAACGAAUAUUAAUACCUUAUGAAACUUAACUAGUGCAUGCUAGGUAGGUCAAAGAUUUAUCGGUAUGGGAUGGGCCUGCGUCUGAUUAGCUAGUUGGUGAGGUAACGGCUCACCAAGGCGACGAUCAGUAGCCGACCUGAGAGGGUGAACGGCCACAUUGGAACUGAGACACGGUCCAAACUCCUACGGGAGGCAGCAGUGGGGAAUAUUGCACAAUGGGGGAAACCCUGAUGCAGCAACGCCGCGUGAACGAUGAAGGCCUUUGGGUCGUAAAGUUCUGUUCUAGGUGAUGAAAACUGACAGUAACCUAGGAGAAAGCCCCGGCUAA
rnacentral:rRNA from 1 species